GGCGGGGCCACUGACAAAGGUGAGGAGCUGGAGGUGGCUGCAGAAGUCCUGCACACAGUAGAUGCCCAGGACAUACCUGAAAUGCAGCUGGGGGUCCUGUUAUGGAGUUUUCCUUGUGACCUUGGGAAGGUGUUAACCAGAAAGUGUGACUGUAACAUCAUCGAUGAUAGCAGCUCUGUUUUGUAAGCUCCUACAGUGCGGGCAGCACUGUGCCCACUACCCUACUCAUGUUAGCCCCGUGUAUGUUUUCAUUUUACAGAUAAAGACAUGGGGGCUCAGGGCGGUGGAGACCUGCCCAAGGUGACAGCACAGAUCAGUGCUGGUCCCAGAAUUCAAUCCCAGGUCUGACUCCAGAAUCAGACCAUGUGCUGCGCCCAUGCCUCAGUUUCCUCAUUUCUGCCACGAAGGCCUGGAAGAGAGGAUUUCAUAUUUGGCCUGCUUUAGCGCAAAAGGCUGCUGACCCCAGAGUUCCCUCUUCAGAGUAUCCCACCAAGGAGACCUGAUCUUGAGCCUGGAGCCCCGAACCGAUGCUUGAAUUCCAAGAGGUGACCUGCUGCCGGGGGGCCUGGUGGCAGGCACUGCACUCACACACCAGGGGAUGGAUGCAGACAGAGGGGCAGCACUUGGACCUGGCGGGCGGCGGGACUGACCAUUGGGCCAGGGACAGGCCGGGGCGCCACGAGGCUGUCUGCUGCAGAAUAAAAAUGCCACUAUUCCUCUAAUUGCU
rnacentral:lncRNA from 1 species